ACCUGUGAGGCCCUUCUGACGAGUCGAGUUGUUUGGGAAUGCAGCUCUAAGUGGGUGGUAAAUCCAUCUAAGGCUAAAUAUUGGCGAGAGACCGAUAGCGAACAAGUACUGUGAAGGAAAGAUGAAAAGCACUUUGAAAAGAGAGUGAAACAGCACGUGAAAUUGUUGAACAGGGAAGGGUAUUGGGCUCGACAUGGGAUUUACGCAUCGUUGCCUCUCGUGGGCGGCGCUCUGGGUUUUUCCUGGGCCAGCAUCGGUUUUCGUUUGCAGGAUAAGGACAAUUGGACAUGUGGCUCCUCGGAGUGUUAUAGCCUUUUGUAGAUGCUGCGUAUGGGGACCGAGGGCUGCGGCGGACUCGUUUUCGUCUCGGAUGCUGGCA
rnacentral:rRNA from 1 species